UAUACUACCUUAAGGUGGUACCUAACACUACAGGGAGAUAACUCUGUAAAAUCUGAUAAACGUUUUAAAUUACGUUGUGUUGUUAAGGGAAUAUCAAGCUUCUCAAUGAUCAAAAUAAGUGUUUGUCAAACUGCUAUAUAACCAGUGUAAUUUUUCUGAUAAAACGGUUGGUUCAAAUUUUUUGAAAUUUUUAUAUUUUUGUAAAAGGGUCAAAGUAAAUACUAAUACUUUUGACAAAAUUUUAAGAAAAUUAAACGAGCC
rnacentral:lncRNA from 1 species